rnacentral:ncRNA from 1 species
UGAUAGCUUGGAAGCGAGAGAUUGCGGCCUGCCUUACCGCGGCCGGGAACUCCGUGGAGCGAAUGUCAAGUUCACGAAACUGACGACAA